GCACUUUUUUGGGGUUUUCUCUCUCCUCUUUCCUCCCUCCUGCAGUGAUGUCCUGUCCACCGGUUAUUGAGCUCCUGGACCUGUGGCCUGCUCUGAAAAUAGAGGGGGAGGUGUAUGCAGAGUUUCUGCGGAUUACAAAUCAGAACCUGCCCAACACCUUUUAUGCUGAACUUGACCAUCAUCUUCCUGGUCGACUUAUGACCCUAUGACCACUUAUGACCAGACAAAAGGCAUCAAAAACUGGGGGAACUGCAGACGCUCUGGCAGAAACAAAAAUCACGAUGAGCAGGACAUUCACACCAAGCCCACUACUGUUCUUCACGCCCCGCCUGUUUAUCUGCAUGAGGAUGUCUCUGGAGAUUUAAAACUUGCACAAUGCAGAAGGAUGAGUCUGAUGAGCCAGAGCUUGAUGGUGUCAUAGUGGGGCUUCUUACUGUCAUCAACGACCAUCACACAAGUCCAGUGCACUACGAGCCUGUAGAAAUCCCUGUUGUGAUUGAAAAUGAUGAAGUGGUCAGCCUCCCCAGAUUCUGUGAUGCCUUCGUGGUAAUGUUUGGACUCAUCUAUGCAAUGCAACUCAAAUAUCCCAAAGCCCUGACCAACACGUUUGAAUUUACUCAAAAGAUUUGACUUGGUCUAGAAGGUAAACUACCAUCCAGGUUGCAGAUCCUCAAAAAUGACUUGAUGACACAUAUGUAAAACUAAGUUGAAAUAAGGAGUCAUAAAGCAUUAUAACAGACUAUAGUUAUCUCCCUUUGUCUAAAAAAUGCCUCAAAAAUAUUGCACUAUAUACUCAAAGUUCACACUGUCUUUUAUCAAGUAACGCAAAUGUUUAGCUUGUUUUGACGUUUUUAUUAAGUGUAAUUUUCUUUAAUUUCAACAUUGCACAGAAGGGAGUGAGCAAAUAAUAUUGUUAGGCAGACGUUUAUGACAUCUUUAUUUAAGUUACUGUUACUUAAUGUUUUUUAGGCAAUCAUUUGCCUAAAAAUAUUUAAGUUUUGAAAUGAAUAGUUUUGGGGUGUACUGACUCAAAAGAUUUGAUUACCCCCGAAGGGGACUAAGUCAGGGUUAAUGGCCCACGAAGUAUGCAUUAUCACUUUUUAACGCACGCUGUGGAAGCGCUGCAAUCAAGAUUCAGCAAUAUA